GCCACCGAUGGACUCUGCCUCCCUGGGCACGUCCCCACGCCCCUGCCCCAGCUCCUCUGCCCAGAGACACGCUGCCACCCCUCCUCUGUGCCUGCUGUCCCCGCCCGGAAGGGUUCACCCCCUCGCACCCGUGGUACCUGUGCAGGUGGCGGUGGUGACGGUGGUGACAGUGGCGGUGGCCUCUCCAGCAACCACGGGGGCUGCCGGCGUUUCUAUGACAACGGGGACGAUCUCGAUGGCGACGUCCCCGUCGGGCCCACGCAGGAUCUGCACCAGCCCCUUCUCCUCCAGCUCCGCCAGCCGCCGCUCCAGCGCCAGUCGGUAGCACUCCUGUGGCCGCGGGGACGGCGGGCUGGGCGGCCGCGGGGGGCUCAGCUGCUCCUGGAGAGGUGACAACCCCCAGGACCAGUGUCACCAGUGUCCCACUCAAACCUCAAACCCACAGCCCUCCCUCCGGCGCCGCGGCGCCCGUGGGUGCUCACCCGCAGCACCUCCAGCUCCCGCCGUGCCUGGCUCAGCUGCUUCUCCAGCUCCGCUAUCUUGGCCAUGGAGUCGUUCUCUGCAUCCUGCAGCUUCUCCGUCAGCUGUGGGGGACGAGGCGCCGCCGGCUCAGCCCCGUCCCCGUCCCUCCCUCGGGGCUCUGCGUCAGCGGCUCCUGCCCACGCGCCCGCGGCCCACCUGGCUGACGAGCUCCUGCAGCUCCUCCAUGUGCUCCAGCACCGCCGUCUUGGUCUCCGAGUCCUCCAGCAUGGCCCCCACGUCGAAGACGUUGUCCAGUAUUGCCUCUUGAUGUGCAAAGGGAGAAGAAUCCUCACUGCUCCAAGCAGGAGCAUCUGAGCAUCCCCAUCCCAGCAGCAAAGAUGCUCUUCCUCCGCUCCAUCCCAAAAAGCUACCUCGGCACAUCUCAAACCACUUGGCACAGGACAACCCUCCCAUCACUCUGCCAAAGUGACAUCUGCCACAGUGCCCCAGAUGGGAAGGAGCCAACUUUUGGGGAAUAAAGUUCUGGGAAAACUAAA